rnacentral:rRNA from 1 species
UACAGGGGGUGCAAACGUUGCUCGGAAUUAUUGGGCGUAAAGCGCGCGUAGGCGGCUAUUUAAGUCGGAUGUGAAAGCCCCUGGCUCAACUGGGGAAGUGCACCCGAAACUGAAUGGCUUGAGUGCAAAAGAGGGCCGCGGAAUUCCCGGUGUAGAGGUGAAAUUCGUAGAUAUCGGGAGGAACACCGGUGGCGAAGGCGGCGGCCUGGGUUGACACUGACGCUGAGGCGCGAAAGCGUGGGGAGCAAACAGG